GACGAACGCUGGCGGUGUGCUUAACACAUGCAAGUCGAACGGAAAGGCCCUGCUUUUGUGGGGUGCUCGAGUGGCGAACGGGUGAGUAACACGUGAGUAACCUGCCCUUGACUUUGGGAUAACCUCAGGAAACUGGGGCUAAUACCGGAUAGGAGCUCCUGCUGCAUGGUGGGGGUUGGAAAGUUUCGGCGGUUGGGGAUGGACUCGCGGCUUAUCAGCUUGUUGGUGGGGUAGUGGCUUACCAAGGCUUUGACGGGUAGCCGGCCUGAGAGGGUGACCGGCCACAUUGGGACUGAGAUACGGCCCAGACUCCUACGGGAGGCAGCAGUGGGGAAUAUUGCACAAUGGGCGGAAGCCUGAUGCAGCAACGCCGCGUGCGGGAUGACGGCCUUCGGGUUGUAAACCGCUUUCGCCUGUGACGAAGCGUGAGUGACGGUAAUGGGUAAAGAAGCACCGGCUAACUACGUG
rnacentral:rRNA from 1 species